UACGAAGGACCCAAGCGUUAUCCGGAUUUAUUGGGUUUAAAGGGUGCGUAGGCGGGUUGUUAAGUCAGUGGUGAAAGCUCCGAGCCCAACUCGGAAACUGCCAUUGAUACUGACGAUCUUGAGUACAUUUGAGGUGGGCGGAAUGUGUCAUGUAGCGGUGAAAUGCUUAGAGAUGACACAGAACACCGAUUGCGAAGGCAGCUCACUAAACUGUAACUGACGCUGAGGCACGAAAGCGUGGGGAGCAAACAGG
rnacentral:rRNA from 1 species